rnacentral:rRNA from 1 species
AUUGAACGCUGGCGGCAGGCCUAACACAUGCAAGUCGAGCGGAUGACGGGAGCUUGCUCCUUGAUUCAGCGGCGGACGGGUGAGUAAUGCCUAGGAAUCUGCCUGGUAGUGGGAGACAACGUUUCGAAAGGAACGCUAAUACCGCAUACGUCCUACGGGAGAAAGCAGGGGACCUUCGGGCCUUGCGCUAUCAGAUGAGCCUAGGUCGGAUUAGCUAGUAGGUGAGGUAAUGGCUCACCUAGGAGACGAUCCGUAACUGGUCUGAGAGGAUGAUCAGUCACACUGGAACUGAGACACGGUCCAGACUCCUACGGGAGGCAGCAGUGGGGAAUAUUGGACAAUGGGCGAAAGCCUGAUCCAGCCAUGCCGCGUGUGUGAAGAAGGUCUUCGGAUUGUAAAGCACUUUAAGUUGGGAGGAAGGGGUGAUGGCUAAUAUCCAUCAUCAUUGACGUUACUGACAGAAGAAGCACCGGCUAACUCCGUGCCAGCCGCCGCGGUAA